AAUGGACGAAAGUCUGAACCAGCCAUGCCGCGUGCAGGAUGACGGCCCUACGGUUGUAAACUGCUUUUAUACAAGAAGAAACUGACGGUACUGUAUGAAUAAGCACCGGCUAACUCCGUGCCAGCAGCCGCGGUAAUACGGAGGGUGCAAGCGUUAUCCGGAUUCAUUGGGUUUAAAGGGUGCGUAGGUGGGAUAGUAAGUCAGUGGUGAAAUCCUACGGCUCAACCGUAGAACUGCCAUUGAUACUGCUAUUCUUGAGUAUAGUUGAGGUAGGCGGAAUGCGUCAUGUAGCGGUGAAAUGCUUAGAUAUGACGGAGAACACCGAUCGCGAAGGCAGCUUAUCAAACUAUUACUGACACUGAUGCACGAAAGCGUGGGGAGCGAAUAGGAUU
rnacentral:rRNA from 1 species